rnacentral:rRNA from 1 species
UACGUAGGGAGCGAGCGUUAUCCGAGUUUAUCGGGUGUAAAGCGUGUGUAGGCGGUUCAAUAAGUCUAAGGUUUAAGUCCGAAGCUUAACUUCGGUUCGCCUUAGAAACUGUUUUACUUGAGUGUGGUAGAGGCAAGUGGAAUUUCUAGUGUAGCGGUAAAAUGCUUAGAUAUUAGAAGGAACACCGGUGGCGAAGGCGACUUGCUGGGCCAUUACUGACGCUGAGACACGAAAGCGUGGGGAGCAAAUA